rnacentral:rRNA from 1 species
CAGCAGCCGCGGUAAUACGAAGGGGGCUAGCGUUGUUCGGAUUUACUGGGCGUAAAGCGCACGUAGGCGGACUUUUAAGUCAGGGGUGAAAUCCCGGGGCUCAACCCCGGAACUGCCUUUGAUACUGGAAGUCUUGAGUAUGGUAGAGGUGAGUGGAAUUCCGAGUGUAGAGGUGAAAUUCGUAGAUAUUCGGAGGAACACCAGUGGCGAAGGCGGCUCACUGGACCAUUACUGACGCUGAGGUGCGAAAGCGUGGGGAGCAAACAGGAUUAGAGACCCCUGUAGUCCCUGUCUCUUAUAU